rnacentral:rRNA from 1 species
GAGGAAAAGGAACCAACAGGGAUUGCCUCAGUAACGGCGAGUGAAGCGGCAAAAGCUCAAAUUUGAAAUCUAGUACCUUCGGUGCUCGAGUUGUAAUUUGAAGGUAGUUUUCUGGUGCUGGCCCUUGUCUAUGUUCCUUGGAACAGGACGUCAUAGAGGGUGAGAAUCCCGUCUGAUGGGGUGUCCAGUGCUUUGUAGAUUUCUACCGAAGAGUCGAGUUGUUUGGGAAUGCAGCUCUAAGUGGGUGGUAAAUUCCAUCUAAAGCUAAAUACUGGCGAGAGACCGAUAGCGAACAAGUACAGUGAUGGAAAGAUGAAAAGAACUUUGAAAAGAGAGUGAAAAAGUACGUGAAAUUGUUGAAAGGGAAGGGUAUUGGAUCAGACUUGGUGUCUUGUGAUUAUCUUCCCUUCUUGGGUUGUGCACUCGCAUUUCACUGGGCCAGCAUCGGUUCGGAUGGCAAGAUAAUGGCUUGGGAAUGUGGCACUCUUCGGAGUGUGUUAUAGCCCUUGUUGAUGUUGCCUAUCUGGACCGAGGACUGCGGCUUUUGCCUAGGAUGCUGGCGUAAUGAUUCAAUACCGCCCGUCUU